GAGUGUCUUCUGCCACCUCUGAAAUGUCACUGGUUAUACUGGAAUGGCUUUCCCCAGAUGGAAAGGAUGUUGAAAAGGAUCGUUAACAUCUGCACAGCUCUUUGAAGAUGACACCCUCAGUGACAGGCCCAGCUGUGCAGCAUGGAGCAUGUUCCUGCAUUCAGCAACCAAAAGUUUCUGACAGUGAUUGACUGCAUCCCUGUAUGAUGAAACCUAAGUGCACACAGUAAUUGGAAGAACAGUCUCAUAAUUUCCAGCUCUGAGGGGAAGAUAUCUUGGAACACAACAGCAAAAAGAAACCCUUGGGUGAAAAAAGAAACCUGGUCAAAAUAAAAUCACAGAUCAUUGAUUGAAAAUGUAGAUGUGAUUAUUUCUAAUAACCAAUGAGGGAAGGCAAUUAGAAGAAAUGGUGUACAUUUGGAGCCCAGCUGAGUAGUCAUUUUUAGAGUGAUGAAGAUUUAUUGAAGAUCCGGUUUAAAGAAAUAAAUGCAAAUAUUACUGGUUCUUAUGCUGGAAGUUAUCCCAUAGGCAUGU
rnacentral:lncRNA from 1 species